rnacentral:sRNA from 1 species
AUAUGGCUGCAACAUCUGUCACCCCAUUGAUUGCCAGGUUGAUUCGGCUGAUCUGGCUGGCUAAGGCGGGCGUCCCCAU